rnacentral:rRNA from 1 species
UCGGGAAUUUUGGGCAAUGGGCGAAAGCCUGACCCAGCAACGCCGCGUGAAGGAUGAAAUCCCUCGGGAUGUAAACUUCGCAAGAACGGGAAGAAUAAGUGAGAGUUAACACCUCUUACGAUGACGGUACUGUUUGUAAGCUCCGGCUAACUCCGUG